rnacentral:lncRNA from 1 species
UGGGGGCGGUGCCGGGGGAGGCUCCCGUCCCAGUGCCGGCCCCGCCGGUAACUCCGCCUGCCGUAUUUAUGGGAAAACAAGCAGCGGCAGAGCGUUGGGCCGUGUCGAGCCGUGCCGUGCCGUGCCGUGCAUCGCUGUGCCGUGCCGUGCUGGAUCGGGCGGAGCUGGGCCAUGGUCCCCUGGGCGGUGGCAUCCCCAGCCUAGCGCGGCGGCGGCGGCGGCGGCGGCUGGGGGAUGCGGCGAGAGCCGCCAGAGCGGCUGGCGCAGAGCAGCCCUGGGAUGGAGCCACCACAGGCCCCUUGGCCACCUCAGCCCACCCACCCCCUCACUGCUGCUGCUGGACCAGGGUGGGCUACUGGGUCCUCUGAGGCUGUGUGACAGGGAACUGGCG